AAAAAAAAAAAAAAAAAAAAAAAAAAAGGAAGAGAAAGAAUCAGUGAAUAGCUUAUUUCUAAAUUACUUCUGAAAAUUUCUAAAUUGUGAAUUUGCUUAGUGCCUAGUUUAAAAUUAUAUUAGUAAGAGGUAAAAAUUAAUUGCUUAGUGCCUAGUUUAAAAUUGUAUUAUUAAGAGGUCGGAGCAUCACAGUUGGUGGUAUUAGCAACUAGUUAUUGCAGUUAUUAGUAAUUUAACUACCGUACGAUACCGCUUACCGGACAGAACGAAAAUCACAAGUAGACAGUAAACGAAAAAUUUAACAUCAUUCUACAAUAAACCAACAUUGUCAAACAAAGUUCGGCGUAGUCAAUAAAGUAGUUUAAAUUUUCGGAAAUUCCGUCUUGUUGCCGUCUCGGG